rnacentral:ribozyme from 1 species
UGCCCAGCAACUCCUAUCCCUACCUCCUCGUGGUACCGGCCGGAAACUAUGGGCAACCUUAGGGAAGAUCGGGUAACCAACCCCGGUGGGAACUUUGGUCGUAGGCUGACAGGGAAGG